rnacentral:rRNA from 1 species
GUAGGGAAUCUUCCACAAUGGACGAAAGUCUGAUGGAGCAACGCCGCGUGAGUGAAGAAGGUUCUCGGAUCGUAAAACUCUGUUGUGAGGGAAGAACAAGUACCGGAGUAACUGCCGGUACCUUGACGGUACCUCAUUAGAAAGCCACGGCUAACUACGUGCCAGCAGCCGCGGUAAUACGUAGGUGGCAAGCGUUGUCCGGAAUCAUUGGGCGUAAAGCGCGCGCAGGCGGUCCCUUAAGUCUGAUGUGAAAGCCCACGGCUCAACCGUGGAGGGUUAUUGGAAACUGGGGGACUUGAGUGCAGAAGAGGAAAGCGGAAUUCCAAGUGUAGCGGUGAAAUGCGUAGAGAUUUGGAGGAACACCAGUGGCGAAGGCGGCUUUCUGGUCUGUAACUGACGCUGAGGCGCGAAAGCGUGGGGAGCAAACAGGAUUAGAAACCCCGGUAGUCC